CCGUCGCGGUUCCGCUACUGACAGGAAGAUGUAGUUGCGACCUGCUAAGCGAGACAGCCAGAGGGGAGGGAAGGCGCAGCCCAGCCUCGCCGAGAGGAAGUCCGUCGGACGCGGCGGUGGGCGAAAGGUGGUCUGCCAUCCCUGGCUUCGGGAGAUGUGAGCCGCGGGGCGAGGCGGGGGGAGCUUCGGCGCGGGGAGCGAAGAAGGCCGUGCGGAGGUGAACCAUAAGCUAAAGAGAGGAGCCCUCCAGUUGUGUUGGGACUACAAGCUCUGUAAUCCCCAGUCACUCUGAGGAUAAUGACCACGAACUACAAAGGUUGAAGGAAAGCCGUGAUGCUUGAAAGCAGCAAUGAACAGGAACUCCUGCAGAUGAGAAGACAUCCUACAUUCCACUAUGAUGCAUUAACCUAGCCAUGAUGAGGUGGAGAAAAAAAAUAAUUUAACAAUGUUUUUCAAUGUACUCAUAUUAAUGAGGAAGAGAGUUCGAAGUGUCUGCAGCAACCUUUCUUCUGUAGACUAUUGUCUCCUCGGCUUCUUAUCCCAAGAAAAAGAUGUCUUAAAGACCAGCGUAAAUAUUCAAAAAUGCCUCCAAAACAUUUCAGAACCACUCUGAGAAUGAGUAAGAAGAAGAAGAAGAAAAAAAGGCCUCUUUUCUCAAGAGGAAGAAAAUGUCCAGACACUUGCCAAGUUAUUAUCCACUUUUGUCAAAUAUUAUUCAUGAGGUUGUAUUGAGAAGAUGCAGAAAUGAACAUUCAACACCUGUCCUGAGGUUUCCUGGGCUUUUAUUGGAGGCAAGUAAAAUGAAAUUAUAUGAAAUGAAAUAAUACAA